UACGUAGGGGGGCAAGCGUUGUCCGGAAUCAUUGGGCGUAAAGCGCGCGUAGGCGGCCCGAUCAGUCCGCUGUAAAAGUCCAGGGCUCAACCCUGGAAAGCCGGUGGAUACUGUCGGGCUAGAGUCCGAAAGAGGCGAGUGGAAUUCCUGGUGUAGCGGUGGAAUGCGCAGAUAUCAGGAGGAACACCGAUAGCGAAGGCAGCUCGCUGGGACGGUACUGACGCUGAGGUGCGAAAGCGUGGGGAGCGAACAGG
rnacentral:rRNA from 1 species